AGAGUUUGAUCCUGGCUCAGAUUGAACGCUGGCGGCAUGCUUUACACAUGCAAGUCGAGCGGCAGCGCGGGGGCAACCCUGGGCGGCGAGGCGGCGAACGGGUGAGUAAUGCAUCGGAACGUAUCCUGUAGUGGGGGAAUAACUCACCGAAAGGUGAGCUAAUACCGCAUAAGCUCUGAGGAGAAAGCGGGGGACCGAAAGGCCUCGCGCUGCAGGAGCGGCCGAUGUCCGAUUAGCUAGUUGGUGAGGUAAAGGCUCACCAAGGCGACGAUCGGUAGCUGGUCUGAGAGGAUGAUCAGCCACACUGGGACUGAGACACGGCCCAGACUCCUACGGGAGGCAGCAGGUGGGGUAAUUUUGGACAAUGGGGGAAACCCUGAUCCAGCCAUGCCGCGUGAGUGAAGAAGGCCUUAGGGUUGUAAAGCACUUUCAAUUGGGAGGAAAACCUGUCGGUCAAUACCCGGCAGCUUGACAUUACCUUUAGAAGAAGCACCGGCUAACUCCGUG
rnacentral:rRNA from 1 species